rnacentral:lncRNA from 1 species
AUCAUUAUGGAAAUGGAUUUGAGUAGAAUGAAAAAAUUUGUUGGAAUAUACUUUGAUGAAGAAAGCUGGAAUGUUGUCCCAAAGCAUUGGCUAUUUAUGAAGAAGAAGAAGAAGAUCUUCUGUUACUGGCCACCUAUUGAAAAUGUGCAAGCUCUAGCUAGGAACUGUAGCCAAGUUGAUGCCUCUAGUUGGCCUUCAUACCUUGUGACUCAUGUUGCUGUAUCUUCAGAUGAUUACAACAGAGCUGAGAAGAAGAUGCUCCAAUCAGUAAACAGUCAGAGUGAAGCUUCUGAACUGGAUACUUCACAAGCAACUGAAGAUGUUGGGUGUUGGAGUCUUCGUCAACAUAGCGGGCCAACUUGCGCUGACA